rnacentral:rRNA from 1 species
GACGAACGCUGGCGGCGUGCUUAACACAUGCAAGUCGAGCGGUAAGGCCCUUUCGGGGUACGACGAGCGGCGAACGGGUGAGUAACACGUGGGUGACCUCGCCCUCCAGCUCUGGGAGUAAGCCUGGGAAACCGGGUCUAAUACUGGAUAUGACUCCAUGACGCAUGUUGUGGGGUGGAAAGCCUUGUGCGGCUGAGGAUGGGCCCGCGGCCUAUCAGCUUGUUGGUGGGGUGAGGCCUACCAAGGCGACGACGGGUAGCCGGCCUGAGAGGGCGACCGGCCACACUGGGACUGAGACACGGCCCAGACUCCUACGGGAGGCAGCAGUGGGGAAUCUUGCGCAAUGGGCGAAAGCCUGACGCAGCGACGCCGCGUGAGGGAUGACGGCCU